rnacentral:tRNA from 1 species
GGUGUUGUAGCUCAGAGGUAGGGUGCUCGCCUAGCAUGUGUGAGGCACUGGGUUGAAUCCUCAGCACCU